AGUGAACGCUGGCGGUAGGCCUAACACAUGCAAGUCGAACGGCAGCACAGUAAGAGCUUGCUCUUACGGGUGGCGAGUGGCGGACGGGUGCGGAAUACAUCGGAAUCUACUUUUUCGUGGGGGAUAACGUAGGGAAACUUACGCUAAUACCGCAUACGACCUACGGGUGAAAGCAGGGGAUCUUCGGACCUUGCGCGAUUCAAUGAGCCGAUGUCGGAUUAGCUAGUUGGCGGGGUAAAGGCCCACCAAGGCGACGAUCCGUAGCUGGUCUGAGAGGAGGAUCAGCGACACUGGAACUGAGACACGGUCCCGACUCCUACGGGAGGCAGCAGUGGGGAAUAUUGGACAAUGGGCGCAAGCCUGAUCCAGCCAUACCGCGUGGGUGAAGAAGGCCUUCGGGUUGUAAAGCCCUUUUGUUGGGAAAGAAAAGCAGCAGGUUAAUACCCCGCUGUUCUGACGGUACCCAAAGAAUAAGCACCGGCUAACUUCGUG
rnacentral:rRNA from 1 species